GGUUCAAUGGUGUAGUUGGUUAUCACGUUCGUCUCACAAUCAUGUGAUUGUACAGAGCUCGUUACAUGACGAGAGCACGAGAGGUCUUCGGUUCGAGUCCGGAUUGAACCA